rnacentral:rRNA from 1 species
GACGAACGCUGGCGGCGCGCUUAACACAUGCAAGUCGAACGGAAAGGCCCUGCUUUUGUGGGGUGCUCGAGUGGCGAACGGGUGAGUAACACGUGAGUAACCUGCCCUUGACUUUGGGAUAACUUCAGGAAACUGGGGCUAAUACCGGAUAGGAGCUCCUGCUGCAUGGUGGGGGUUGGAAAGUUUCGGCGGUUGGGGAUGGACUCGCGGCUUAUCAGCUUGUUGGUGGGGUAGUGGCUUACCAAGGCUUUGACGGGUAGCCGGCCUGAGAGGGUGACCGGCCACAUUGGGACUGAGAUACGGCCCAGACUCCUACGGGAGGCAGCAGUGGGGAAUAUUGCACAAUGGGCGGAAGCCUGAUGCAGCAACGCCGCGUGCGGGAUGACGGCCUUCGGGUUGUAAACCGCUUUCGCCUGUGACGAAGCGUGAGUGACGGUAAUGGGUAAAGAAGCACCGGCUAACUACGUGCCAGCAGCCGCGGUGGUACGUAGGGUGCGAGCGUUGUCCGGAUUUAUUGGGCGUAAAGGGCUCGUAGGUGGUUGAUCGCGUCGGAAGUGUAAUCUUGGGGCUUAACCCUGAGCGUGCUUUCGAUACGGGUUGACUUGAGGAAGGUAGGGGAGAAUGGAAUUCCUGGUGGAGCGGUGGAAUGCGCAGAUAUCAGGAGGAACACCAGUGGCGAAGGCGGUUCUCUGGGCCUUUCCUGACGCUGAGGAGCGAAAGCGUGGGGAGCGAACAGGCUUAGAUACCCUGGUAGUCCACGCUGUAAACGGUGGGUACUAGGUGUGGGGUCCAUUCCACGGGUUCCGUGCCGUAGCUAACGCUUUAAGUACCCCGCCUGGGGAGUACGGCCGCAAGGCUAAAACUCAAAGGAAUUGACGGGGCCCCGCACAAGCGGCGGAGCAUGCGGAUUAAUUCGAUGCAACGCGUAGAACCUUACCUGGGUUUGACAUGGAUCGGGAGUGCUCAGAGAUGGGUGUGCCUCUUUUGGGGUCGGUUCACAGGUGGUGCAUGGCUGUCGUCAGCUCGUGUCGUGAGAUGUUGGGUUAAGUCCCGCAACGAGCGCAACCCUUGUUCACUGUUGCCAGCACGUUAUGGUGGGGACUCAGUGGAGACCGCCGGGGUCAACUCGGAGGAAGGUGGGGAUGACGUCAAGUCAUCAUGCCCCUUAUGUCCAGGGCUUCACGCAUGCUACAAUGGCUGGUACAGAGAGUGGCGAGCCUGUGAGGGUGAGCGAAUCUCGGAAAGCCGGUCUCAGUUCGGAUUGGGGUCUGCAACUCGACCUCAUGAAGUCGGAGUCGCUAGUAAUCGCAGAUCAGCAACGCUGCGGUGAAUACGUUCCCGGG